AGAGUUUGAUCCUGGCUCAGAUUGAACGCUGGCGGCAUGCCUUACACAUGCAAGUCGAGCGGCAGCGCGGGGGCAACCCUGGCGGCGAGCGGCGGACGGGUGAGUAAUACAUCGGAACGUGUCCUUUCGUGGGGGAUAACCAGUCGAAAGACUGGCUAAUACCGCAUGAGAUCUCACGAUGAAAGCGAGGGACCGCAAGGCCUCGCGCGAUUGGAGCGGCCGAUGUCGGAUUAGCUAGUUGGCGGGGUAAAAGCCCACCAAGGCAACGAUCCGUAGCUGGUUUGAGAGAACGACCAGCCACACUGGGACUGAGACACGGCCCAGACUCCUACGGGAGGCAGCAGUGGGGAAUUUUGGACAAUGGGGGCAACCCUGAUCCAGCCAUGCCGCGUGUGUGAAGAAGGCCUUCGGGUUGUAAAGCACUUUCGGCCGGAACGAAAUCGCGCGGGUUAAUAACCCGUGUGGAUGACGGUACCGAAGAAGAGCC
rnacentral:rRNA from 1 species